GAUGAAGAACGUAGCGAAAUGCGAUACGUAAUGUGAAUUGCAGAAUUCAGUGAAUCAUCAAAUCUUUGAACGCAUAUUGCGCUCUCUGGUAUUCCGGAGAGCAUGCUUGUUUGAGUAUCAGUAAACACCUCAACUUCCAUAUCUUUUUUGAAAUGGGAGUUGGACUUGAGUGAUCCCAACGCUUUUCCUCACCGAAAAGUGGCGGGUUACUUGAAAUGCAGGUGCAGCUGGACUUUUCUCUGAGCUAUAAGCAUAUCUAUUUAGUCUGCCUAAAAAACAGAUUAUUACCUUUGCUGCAGCUAACAUAAAGGAGAUUAGUUCUUGUGCUGACUGAUGCAGGAUUCACAAAGACAGCUUCGGCCGACUUUGUAAACUCGAUCUCAAAUCAAGUAAGACUACCCGCUGAACUUAAGCAUAUCAAUAAGCGGAGGA
rnacentral:misc_RNA from 1 species